AGGGGUCCGGAAGGGAUGGAUGUGCUAGAGGUCCCAUUUAGACCUUGACUGUCCUGACCUUGGCCUUCCUUCCCUACCCUGCAG
ensembl:miRNA Mir7034 microRNA 7034